rnacentral:misc_RNA from 1 species
GGUUGUCCAGAUGAGCCCCUUUGGUCGUCUUGUCGUUUUUGCAGUGCCAUCAGCACUAUUUAUUAUGAAUUUGAUGUGGUUUGCUAAAAUCAUCAAAGGAUUGAUGAAAACUUUAGCCAAGAGACAGUGAUCUUAACAGUGAUCUUAUCUUUAUCAUCAUACAUACAAGGUCAACCAAUAUGUUUCUCUAACUGGAUGUAGUAUUCCUCUGUAUUUUACUGUCUUCUCUGCUUUAUAAAUCAUUGAGGGGGCAAAAAGGCAGGAAAAGGAAAAUAGAAGGUAAUCUGAUAUUCUUAGUUGAUGGAAUCAAAUUUUUGUAUAUGAUUACUCAUUCAGUGCUUACCACUAGUUAGAGAAACAUAUUGGUUGACCUUGUAUGUNNNNNNNNNNNNUAUAUUUGGAUGUUAAAAGCUGAUGGGCUGCCUUUUUGCCCCCUCAAUGAUUUAUAAAG